UACAGAGGCCACGAGCGUUAGGCGGAAUCACUGGGCUUAAAGCGUGUGUAGGUGGAUGGGUAAGUACCUUGUGAAAUCCCACGGCUUAACCGUGGAACUGCUUGGUAUACUGGUUCUCUUGAGCCACCUAGGGGCAACCGGAACAAACGGUGGAGCGGUGAAAUGCGUAGAUAUCGUUUGGAACGCCAAUGGUGAAAACAGGUUGCUGGGGGGUGUGCUGACGCUGAGACACGAAAGCCAGGGGAGCGAACGGG
rnacentral:rRNA from 1 species